rnacentral:rRNA from 1 species
GUGGGGAAUAUUGGACAAUGGGGGGAACCCUGAUCCAGCCAUGCCGCGUGUGUGAAGAAGGCCUUUUGGUUGUAAAGCACUUUAAGCGAGGAGGAGGCUACCGAGAUUAAUACUCUUGGAUAGUGGACGUUACUCGCAGAAUAAGCACCGGCUAACUCUGUGCCAGCAGCCGCGGUAAUACAGAGGGUGCAAGCGUUAAUCGGAUUUACUGGGCGUAAAGCGCGCGUAGGUGGCCAAUUAAGUCAAAUGUGAAAUCCCCGAGCUUAACUUGGGAAUUGCAUUCGAUACUGGUUGGCUAGAGUAUGGGAGAGGAUGGUAGAAUUCCAGGUGUAGCGGUGAAAUGCGUAGAGAUCUGGAGGAAUACCGAUGGCGAAGGCAGCCAUCUGGCCUAAUACUGACACUGAGGUGCGAAAGCAUGGGGAGCAAACAGGAUUAGAUACCUGGUAGUCC